ensembl:lncRNA
CGAACUUCCUGUUUUUUUUGUCUAAACAACAUUGUGCUCACGCAUCGUCGGAGAAACGCUCUGAACAGCGACGUGUGUGUGUGUAUAUCGAGCUGGAGAGCAUGCUAGCUGAUGGCUAACACUUAAAUUAGCGCCCUUGGAACGGCGGAAUGAGGGAUUUUUCACUUUCGAUGGCCAGCAUGGCGCUCCUCCCACAGUCCUCCCCGUGACCCCAAUGAGGAUUAAGCAGAUAGUGGAUAGAUGGAUGGAUGGAUGGAUGGAUGGAUGGAUGGAUGGCCAGCAUGCUUGCGAACACUUGCAUCUGUUAGAGCAGCUUUUCAACUAUGGAGCACAUUAAAUCAAAAGAGAGAAACAGGCUGACAGAUGAAACUACUCCAGCUCAUGCAAAUUGGAAGCACAAAAACUGACACUAACAUUCAGAAUAUUGUGCAGCAGCAGGGGAGGCCACAGAUAUCUCAUUAGGAAAAAUGUUGCUGAGGCAGGGUCUUUUCAGGACCUUACUUGAAACGUCAUGUGGAAUUGGAG